UUGCCCCAGUAACGGCGAGUGAAGCGGCAACAGCUCAAAUUUGAAAUCUGGCCCCCAGGGCCCGAGUUGUAAUUUGCAGAGGAUGCUUUUGGCGCGGUGCCUUCCGAGUUCCCUGGAACGGGACGCCAUAGAGGGUGAGAGCCCCGUCUGGUCGGACGCCUAGCCUGUGUAAAGCUCCUUCGACGAGUCGAGUAGUUUGGGAAUGCUGCUCUAAAUGGGAGGUAUAUGUCUUCUAAAGCUAAAUACCGGCCAGAGACCGAUAGCGCACAAGUAGAGUGAUCGAAAGAUGAAAAGCACUUUGAAAAGAGGGUUAAAUAGUACGUGAAAUUGUUGAAAGGGAAGCGCUUGUGACCAGACUUGGGCCCGGUGGAUCAUCCAGCGUUCUCGCUGGUGCACUCCGCCGGGUUCAGGCCAGCAUCAGUUCGCCGCGGGGGAAAAAGGCUUCGGGAACGUGGCUCCUACGGGAGUGUUAUAGCCCGUUGCAUAAUACCCUGGGGCGGACUGAGGUUC
rnacentral:rRNA from 1 species